rnacentral:tRNA from 1 species
GGAGCUGUCAAACAAGCUAAAAUCACUUGAAACGCCCUCAAACUAACUAACUGAUUUACAAUAUAAAUAACUGAUACCAAUAUACUUAAUAUAGUAUGUAGGAAUUUCGGACGCGGGUUCAACUCCCGCCAGCUCCACCA